rnacentral:tRNA from 1 species
AAUAAAUUAGUUUAUACAAAACAAUGGAUUGUGGUACCAUAAUAGCUUUUAUUA